GUGUCAAAACAGUUCAUACCAGAUGGUAGCUUAUGUGUUUCAGUUCGGGGAAGUGUACCCCAUUCUUGUGGGCUUUAGUUCGAGAAGUGAGGUUUCCAGGGAACGUCGUACUUGGUUAUUUCCUCCUCAAGUUACAGUCAUCACCUCUAACGGGUCCUAAGUUUCCCUUGAGGACGUAUUACCCCAGUCUUCGUUGUAGUAAGAGGAAUGAUUUGUGUGAAUGUUGGCGAAUGUGUCGAAUGCUGCGAAUGUAAUAGAUUAUUCCUUUUCUAUGAGACGGGGAAUAAAGAGAGUGACGGAGUUAGUCAGGUGACUUCUCCAUAGAUUACCCGUAGAGCAGAGGGUGACUGGGGUCCAAGUUCUCUUUUCCUGUAAGUAUUCUGUAUGUGAAAGGUGUUGGUACAAUUUCCUACGGGAAGAAAUGUACGAGUCAGGUGACUCAAGGGUAAGUGGUUGAGUCAGUGUCAGCUGUUUAGUAGACCUUAUGUAUGGAUAGGAUAGGGAAAGUGUAUAGGUAGGAUUUUGCAUGUAUUCUUCACCGUGAGUUUAACUCUGGGAGAAUGGGCGUGUGUAACGCUCCUUUUUAUUAUUUCUGUGUUUCUUUGAGUCUUCCCAAUAAUUGUUUUCUUUUGUAGCUUGCGGUGAAGAGGAGGAUAAUAGCGGUAAUUAAAGGUUUAGUGAUUAUAUGAAAAAGUAUAUUUAUAAGGCGUGUAUUCGUGGGAGUGAUUUAGAAGUCUUGAAACAUUUGUUAUAAAUAGUCUUUACUUAUUUCAACUGUGGUUUUCUCUAAUCAGUGGUAAUACGAAUAAUAGGAUUACAUCAUGUUGCGUCAGCCUACCAGUAACUCAUAAGGUGUCAUUCCCUAGCUUAUAAAAUAUGUUAGUAAUUUAGAAUUCAAUUAUUAACUUCAACUAAUGUCCAGCCUAUAUGCUCACCUUGCUAGCCAAUUAUUCCUGCAUUUUUAUUUAAACUCAUGGUUCAGUAAAAUUAUUUGUGAAAGAAGAGAGAGAGAGAACUAGCUAAGGUUCCAAUAACUUCAGAGGCCUGGGGGUGGGUGUUGAGGGGGAGAGCACAGAAUGGCAUCUCCCUUCCCUCUGGCAACAGAUAAAAUAGCCGGUGUUGGUCCCACGUGGAGACAGGCCACAGAGUCUUGGGAAAGUGUUAGCCAUGUAAUGUUUCUUUAGUCAAAUAUAGUCUACUGUGAAUGUGUUGUGAGCAAUAUUAUUGCUGUAGAGAAGUGAUGGAUGAAGGCUGUGACGCUAUUUAGGGAUAUAACGGUGCCCAGAAUCAAUGGUACUCUUGAGGAGUUAUAAAAGUAAUUAUUUUCUUGUGUAUUCGUAGUGUUAAGUAACGGAGUAUAAGUGUAUAUGCCAUACCAGAAUUUCAAGUGCCUUUUUUUUUUUUUUUUUUCUAGAUUAACCACUCGAUAAAGUGUCAUAGUGGGUCAGUCAACCCAAAGAAUCCCAUCAGUAUUAUUCAUUUAAUUAUUUUUGCUAUUUUUAUAUUUUUCGUUCCUCAUAAUAAAGCCACACUGUAGG